rnacentral:rRNA from 1 species
UACGUAGGGUGCGAGCGUUAAUCGGAAUUACUGGGCGUAAAGCGUGCGCAGGUGGCGCGUUAAGUCAGGUGUGAAAUUUCGGAGCUUAACUCCGAAACUGCAUUUGAUACUGGCGUGCUUGAGGACUGGAGAGGAGACUGGAAUUCAUGGUGUAGCAGUGAAAUGCGUAGAGAUCAUGAGGAAGACCAGUGGCGAAGGCGGGUCUCUGGACAGUUCCUGACACUGAGGCACGAAGGCCAGGGGAGCAAACGGG